rnacentral:rRNA from 1 species
GCAGCCUGAUGCAGCAACGCCGCGUGAGGGAUGACGGCCUUCGGGUUGUAAACUUCUUUUAGUAGGGAAGAAGCGAAAGUGACGGUACCUGCAGAAAAAGCACCGGCUAACUACGUGCCAGCAGCCGCGGUAAUACGUAGGGUGCAAGCGUUGUCCGGAAUUAUUGGGCGUAAAGAGCUCGUAGGCGGUUUGUCGCGUCUGCUGUGAAAUCUGGGGGCUCAACCCCCAGCCUGCAGUGGGUACGGGCAGACUAGAGUGCGGUAGGGGAGAUUGGAAUUCCUGGUGUAGCGGUGGAAUGCGCAGAUAUCAGGAGGAACACCGAUGGCGAAGGCAGAUCUCUGGGCCGUAACUGACGCUGAGGAGCGAAAGCAUGGGGAGCGAACAGGAUUAGAUACCCUGGUAGUCCAUGCCGUAAACGUUGGGAACUAGAUGUGGGGGCCAUUCCACGGUCUCCGUGUCGCAGCUAACGCAUUAAGUUCCCCGCCUGGGGAGUACGGCCGCAAGGCUAAAACUCAAAGGAAUUGACGGGGGCCCGCACAAGCGGCGGAGCAUGCGGAUUAAUUCGAUGCAACGCGAAGAACCUUACCAAGGCUUGACAUAUACCGGAAACGUCCAGAGAUGGUCGCCCCGCAAGG